UACGUAGGGGGCGAGCGUUGUCCGGAAUGAUUGGGCGUAAAGGGCGCGUAGGCGGCUGUGUAAGUCAGUAGUGGAAGUCCAGCUUUUAAGGUUGGAAGUGCUAUUGAAACUGUGCAGCUUGAGUGCAGGAGAGGUUAUCGGAAUUCCCGGUGUAGCGGUGAAAUGCGUAGAGAUCAGGAGGAACACCGAUGGCGAAGGCAGGUCUCUGGGCCACUACUGACGCUGAGAAGCGAAAGCAUGGGGAGCGAACAGGAUUAGA
rnacentral:rRNA from 1 species